rnacentral:lncRNA from 1 species
UUUUCAGCAGCUGGCAUUUCCAGCUCCUGCACAGCACCAAGUGAGAGGCUGGAGGAAGAAAUAAAUAGAGAGGCAGGAAGAUAAAUCGAGAGCACCAGACAGACGGGUUUAUGUAGCAUUUUCAUGUAUCAUUGUUGGGUGACAUGGUGUGAGCUAUCUCUGUACUUACAGCCCUCCUGCUCUCCAGCAGCUUGCUCCCAGGACCAUGGUGAGCCCCUGCCAGGAGAUGCCGGCUGGAGUGGAAGGCAGAGGGCAGCAGGCUCAUGUUGGAGGCUUCCUGCAUGAUUGCACACAGUCAUGGAGCUGGCUGACCGGGGUUACCUUUGUCCUCUGGCCCUCAGAGACACCGGAUGAUUGGAGUAGCUUCCAGCCACCACAUCUGGUUCUCCUCUUGCACUCCAGGAAGAACCGAGGUGGUCAGAUUUGCCCUGGCUCAGCACGUGGGACUCUCCAGCAGGAGUCUAGCAGACGUUAAUGGGAUGGUGUGCCUCGGCCGAGUGCUCUCGCAGAUGGAUAGCCUCCUCUGAUGCCUGUCAUAUCAAUUGCUGCAGCCAUGUAAUCUGCUCCUCGGAGUGCGUGAUUGUGCCUGACCCACCGGACCUGAUGCCAUUCUGCUUCAUGUGCUCUUUGCUGGCCUUCUUCAAUUCAUGCCUCAGCAUACACUUACACUGAUCUCUGCUGCCCUACCAUCAGAUUUGCGGCCCCUUGGCCUUCAAAUUGCUUUCCUGACUCUCAGUGGGCCUUGGAAGUGUCCUUUCAUUCUUGCCUCUGAAAUCACAUUUGAGCUCUGCUUUGCCUCUCCUUCACUGCACUGUGGGGGAACUGAACUUUGCCUGCAGCUGGCUCACAGCUGCUUGAAGAAAGAAGGACCAGAAGACCUGAGUUUUAAUGUGUUUCCUGUAUGAUCCUGGCAGGUGAAACCCACCCUACGUGUUGAGAGAUGUCAUUUGGACCAGUAGAAGAGCUUGCUCUUUCUGCCUCGAUAUAUAGCUUUCACGUUAGCUUGCAGGGAAGCCUUCAGUCAACCUAGUAGGUCUGAUCCUGGUGGUACCCAGCUCCAGUCAUGUAAAGUCAGCCACUAAUAUACGUUAGAAGCAUGUAAAUGCGUCCUGGACAACUGCACCAUGGCUGUGCUGGCAGAGUGAGGCCACACAAUCUGGGGGUCAAAGCAGACUUCACUCAGGUACUUGUCUUCAUGCCAUGGGAAGGAGAGGAGCAGUACCGAGCUGGCAGCUCGUGGGACAGACGAGCUGCAGCUGGUUGGGAUAUCUGCUUCCAGGUCAGCCUGGGCAGGGGGAGAUCUGGCACUUGAAGAUUGUGCAGGAAUGCAAGACUGGCACCUUGCUGCCCAGAUCUUCAGUUCAAACUGGUAUGGAGGCUUUGCCCCCUGUGAAGCAGUGCAGUUGUUACUUGUCUGGCUCAUGAGCCCCCGACUUCUCACUGACACUAGUGAAAGUCCUUGUCAGGACAUGUUC